GUCCAGCCGUCACCCCGUCACGUCCUUUCGAAUUUUUUUCUCCCGUGCACCUCUCUCUAUCUCGUGGGCUCGUGGCCUUCCUUUCCUGGCGGCGACGACUGGUCGAGCAGCGCCGCCUCUCGCCAGGUCUCGUCGGGCCCUUCUCCGGCGACGAGCAUCCACCAGCCUGAGUUUGCUGACACUAUGGACGAAUCACGAAAAAGAGAUGUUCCUACUGCAAGUGCUGAAAAUAUAAGUUCACCCCUUGAUGAAGAUUUUGGAAAUGAUUUUCUUUCAUCUUGGAAGCUACCAAAAUCAGGAAAAGACACAAUUGACUUCACUGUUGACUCAGUUCCAAAGAGUAGCAAGAGAUUCAGCUUUGGCAACCUAGAUGAUUUCGGACUUGAUGGAGCCUUUGACAAAUUACCAUCAUUUAAAAUGGGCAUGUCUGAUCUGGAUUUCUCUAGUCCUCUCAAGAAAAAAGUGAAGCACAGCAGUUCAAAUGGUGAUGAUCUUUCUGACGGGAAAAAGGAAAGUGAAAAGAACAAUUUCUCCUUCUCCUUUGAUUUCAACGAGCUGGGAAAGUUUUGUCUUGAUGCAAAGCUAGGAAUUGAGGAAAAAAGUAUGAGUAAAUUUACUGGUAAAGUUGAUCCUGUCUCCUCAGAGGGUAACAAGGAUGCGCAAAGAGGUCUUUCGGCUAAGGCCAGUGGUAUUCUUGAAGAUAACAAUAGUAAGGACAAACCACAAACACAGGGUGUUUGCACUUUAAGACCUUCUCAUCCGACAAAUCGUGAGAGUGUAAAGAAUGCCAGACUACCGGCUUCAAAUAUUAAUGCUGCUGAUUCAUCUGACAAGAUCCAAGAACAUACCAGUGUUAGUCCUGCAAUAAUGAAACAAACUAAAGUAGACUCAGUGCCCAAUGGCAAUCAUAGAGAGCAUCCUAAAGAGAUAUACCCAACAAAAGCAGCUGUUAACAUACCUUCUCAGAAUUUCUCAGGCAGUGCUCCGUCUGGUGAAGAUCCAACACAAGUGCUAGCAGAUCCUAUGAGCACUAAAGGUGCUACUAUAGCGGACAUUGGUAAAGUUCACAUAUCAAGGGAGAGUAAUGACAAAGAGCAGUCGAUUGGUUCACAAUCCAAGGACACCAGCACCAUUAAUCCCAAUGUCUCAGGAAGACUGGUGGGUCAAUUUGAUUCCCGGAAUGAGGUUGUGGAGGAAAGUGUCUCUCUUAAUGAAGGAAGUCAAGGUAACCGAAGUUUCAGCGACGUUCAUAAGAAGCUUUUGAAGAAGACAUCAUGUGGGACAAAGGAUACUGAUGAAGGGACUUCAGGUCAUAAGAGUCUCUCCUCUUCGAUGCAGAGGGGAAUCACAAAUGUUGAAUCUGCACUGGCAAAUGAGAGAGGAAGUUUUUCUAUUUUAUCCAAGUCUACAAAUAUGAAAGCAAGCAGGGUCGAACUAACUUCAGAAACAGCCUUAAAUCAACUAUCUGGUGCAAGUAAAGUGAUAAAAAAGAUGACAUUACAUCCUACAGAUUUGAAAAGGGAGCACAAGCAAGCUAAUGCAGGACCUGACAAAUGUAAAAAUGCUUUGUCAAAAACAUACAGCAAGCAAGCAUCACAUGGGCUAUUAACCACCUCCAUUAACAGCAAAGGUGACAGAAAUGCCAAAUCUGGACUUGAGCCUCCUAGCUCAGGGAACUUAUCUCUGCUGAAUGCUCGAAACAGCACAGCACAUACCACUGGUCAUAAAACUGUUGCAAAUCAUGUGCUUCUAAAAAGUAGUAAUGCUUCUGAUUCAUUACAUGUUACGCAUUCCAAAGAUAAUAAAAUGCCAACAAUUUCUCAACUGACAGGGGUGAGAAUUGCAAAAUUAGGAAUCAGGAGUCCAAUGUCUGACAGGGUUCCUGAGAAGGAAUCAGUACAACUGACUGGGACCAAGGGUUCCCCUUUAACAACAUCCCAAACCCUUAACUCUGUUCCUGAAGGAAAACCUGCAUUGCGUAGCCCAGCCAUAAUGCAAAAGGUUCCUGAGGAAUCAUUUCUAGAUCCAAAAGCUCCUACAGUGCUCAAACACAUCAUGAGGUCUCCAGCUGUAAGAAAAUCACCUCAAACUGUUCCAGAGUUGGGAAAUGAAAUGAUUCUGGGAAGUGGAACUCCAAAAGCUCAUGUGGAUAUUGCGAUCUCUUCACGUAUGCCAUCUGAGAUGGGAGACAUUUCAGAUCUGGAGUUGCCUAUGCUGUUAGAAAAUGAUGGAAACUUAGAAAAAGCUGAGGCUUGUAGAAAGGAGCUUGAAGAUAUAUGCAUUUUAUUGAAAAGGAAACAUGCAGAAGCUAAAGAGCUAGCAGUUCGGGCUAUUGUUAACAACAAUACCAUGCUGAUGUUAAACCACCCAAUGUUUGAGGAGAAAAUUUGCUCGAUUAAGAAAUUUGCGAACGGCCUGAGAUCCAAGAAGUACUUAUUUGAGGAAGUUGGCAGCAUUAACGCCAACCUCUUAUGUGCCACGUCUACAGCUACGAGUAAAGCUAUCAUCUCGCUGAUUGGUAGUGCCGUGUAUUCAUGGAGACCAAAAGCGUGCUAUUUGUCUGUGCACCAACGAGCAUUCAGUGCUUCUGGUUGAAGCUCCAAAAUGAGUCUAGGUUUUGGAAAAUUCAAGUCAUGCACUACCCAUUGAUGCGGGACAGGUGUGGGGAAAAAAUUGCCUCGUCCUGUUGGAGCACGGGUAAUCUCCAUCUGGUAGACUGGCUCUUUGCAGGUGCUACUGCACGAGUGAUCGGGCUGCACCGUCUCUAGCUCUCUGCAGCUCGCGGCGUCUCGGGUGCCAGAGCCUCCGAAGCAAGAAUCCAUGGCACGUAUGGGUACGGGCCACCUUCUCUGCAUCGCCUUGCUGCUCUCCGUCGUCGUGUGCUCGGAACCCGCGCGGGUCUUGAGAGAACGGCCGGAGAAGAUGCCGGCCGGCGGUCGGGGCGACGUCGCCGGAGUCAGUUUCUCCGUCCAGUUUUCCAAGGGGCAGCGCGCCGCCGUGGUUGGCUCGGCGGCGCCCGAGUCCAAGCGCCUAAGCCCUGGAGGACCGGACCCCCAGCAUCACUAGGUGACGAUGGUCAUCGUGGUGAGCUCGUGCGCUGCGCGCGCGCGAGCUGCAACCGGAAGAUUGACAAGAGCUUAUGGUCCACUUGGUUGUCGUUCGUCGUUCCUGCAUGUUUAGUUUUUCUUUUCUUAAUGUUUCUUUGUUGGGGUCAAAUCUCAACUAUACCACGUUUUGUACCAAGACCACAAUAAUGUUGGGCCAUAGUCGUUCGGA